GGGUCUUCCUGAUAUAGGCUUGUUUGAUGUAUGUGGUCACUUUUUAUGUAGACACUUUCUAUUAUCUUCCAUUUAAUGUUGUGCAGCUUUUGGACACUGAAGAAUUACAAGGAUAAAAAGGCAUCUCUUCUACUGUCAAGGAGAGGAAAUUUUCAGCUAGAUGACCAGAAAUACAUGUUGUUUUCGAGGUACUGGCAACAAUAAGAUCAACUUCGAAGGUACAACUGGAACCAUAGUGAGUUAAUUGUUAAAAAUAUUGCACAUAUAUGCUGGAUUUUGUUGAAAGAGAAUUCAUGUGUAUGGCAUGUGAUAUUAGCAUUAUUAUCACAAUGUAGGGAACUCCAAUUGCAGAGGAAAAUGUAAAUUAUGUCUAUAUUACUGUAUUCCAUGAAAUCAAAAGAUGAAGCAAAAAUUAGUUUGGUUUGGAAGGCAGAAGGUGUAGUACAAUGUGCAUAUAUGAUGAUAUCUUUUGGGUAAAUAUUUAACUCAGGUAGAAGUGAAUGGACUGUUAUAAUGGUAUAACUUUAGUCGUAUUUCUCUUAUUCUCUACAUUACCUGCACGUCGAAGGAAUGAUGCUUUGUCUACUCUCAAGCAUUCCAAGAUUCUUGAUGCCCACCUAGAAGGGUGAAUUGAAGNNNNN
rnacentral:lncRNA from 1 species